rnacentral:rRNA from 1 species
AGCGAACGCUGGCGGCAGGCUUAACACAUGCAAGUCGAACGGGCACUGCGGUGCUAGUGGCAGACGGGUGAGGAACAGGUGGGGGGGUACCUUUCGGUUCGGAAUAAUCUGGGGGAAGUGGGACUAAUACCGGAUAGGCCCUUCGGGGGAAACAUUUUAUGCCGAUAGAUGGGCGGGCGUUUGAUUAGCUAGUUGGUGGGGUAAUGGCUCACCAAGGUGGCGAUGAGUAGCUGGUCUGAGAGGAUGAUCAGCCACAUUGGGACUGGGACACGGGCCAAACUCCUACGCGAGGCAGCAGUGGCGAAUAUUGGACAAUGGGCGCAAGCCUGAUCCCGCCAUGCCGCGUGAGUGAUGAAGGCCUUAGGGUUGUAAAGCUCUUUUGUCCGGGAAGAUAAUGACUUUACCGGAAGAAUAAGCCCCGGCUAACUUCGUG